GUACUUAUUACUUUGUAAGCUGUCCACUGAACCAGGCUGUGGUAUUUGGCAUUUACUUUUUUUUUGCACUUGGUGGUGAUUAAUCAAGUCAUUCUGCCGUGCUGUUUAAUUGUUUGCUAGUAAAGAGAAUGCUGUCAUGUAUUUCAGAACCCUGGGAAUCCAUCCACACACACAACACAGUCAUCAAAUACUGCGGUCUCAGACCUUCGUUUGCUAUAGUGUCCUUUGAACAGUUAGUCCCAGAGCUCUGUGCAGAUCUGUGUUGCAGGUGACAAGACAGCAACAGAGGGCCAGGUGAGUAGAGCAGAGGAAAUGAAAAACCGCCAGUGGGAGAAAAGGAACCUCGUGCAGAGAGGGGCUGAGAGGGACUGAACGACAGUCUUUUGUUUGCUUUAAUGCCCUGUGCAGAGCUCUGUAGAGAUCUGUGUUGCAGGUGACAGUAUAGCAGCAGUGGGCCAUGUGGGCACAGAAGAGACAAAAACAAAGAAAACAAAAACCUCCAGUGGGAGGAAGGAAACCUCUGGGGGUCCCGGGCCCUGUGGUUGUACCCCCCAUCCAGGCAAUGAGUGUCAGGAACCCAGGCUGUGGGAAAAUAAAAAGACGCAGAAAUGAAGAGCGCAACGGAGAGGGGCUAUCAAAAAUAGCACCACGUUAUGGGAAGUGAAACUGAGUUACAAAAUCCGUCCGAAAAGGCUUUCUUCUACUCAGCCGAGAAAACAACAACUCAUUCAAGUGAAAAGUUGUCCGUCAUCUGCGGUUAACCCUUGAAUUCCUUAUUCGGAGAAAACCUGUCAUUCUACUGUUGAAAUAGCAACCGCUGGUGUUCA
rnacentral:lncRNA from 1 species